UUCCUGACACGGGCUGCCCUCGGGAGCUCCUCAGGAAGGUUUUUAAAGGAAUAUUUAUGGAUGAUCCUGGUGAAUCAGGCCCUAAAAGAGCUGAGAGCCUGGACAGCAUGGCUGGGUUUGUUCCUGCCUCGGCAGCAGCAGGAACAUCCCAGCUCCAAGGCUGGAGGAUGGGUGAGGAAAGGGUCAGGACACAUCCCCUGACUGCGAGCUGAAGAAAAAUGUUGGCAGAGCAAAGCUUGCCACAGGAAGAAAAGGUUGUCCUGGCUGUUCAUAUUCCUCCACAUGGGGUCCCGUCGGCUUUUUCCCGGCGAAAACUCGAUUCCCCGUGCCAGCAGCACAUUAAGACAUCGCAGCUUCAGCUCUCCCUGCUUCAGAAUUCCCUUUUUUUUUGGUUUUUUUUGAGGUCGAGUCCUGGCUGAGGCUGUGUGGAGCUCUGGUACC